rnacentral:lncRNA from 10 species
GUCUUUCUACCUUUUUUGCUUCCAGACUCACUGACAUAAAAUGAGAAAUACAACAUUUGACAACUCGAAGCCAGCCUGGGGUCACAUUCCGGCAAACAGUGGGAACCAGCAAAGCCAAGGACAGAGAGGUCUUCAGGGAAUACAUGGCUAUGGUGGUUUGAAGACUCCCAUUAGAGAGUGGAUAUUAAUUGCCCUCCUUUUGAAUAUGGUCUGGACUUAGUGAUUUGAUUGUAACAAAUAGAAUACAGCAGAUGUGAUGCUAUGUGACUUCCAAACCUAGGUCAUAAAAGGAGAUGAAGUUUUCACCUGGCUCUCCCUUGGGACACUCACCCUUGGAACCCAGCUGCCAUAUUGUGAGGAAGCUCAAGCCACAGGGAAGGCCAUGUGUAGGUGUUUGGGCUGAUGGUGCCAGCUGAGGACCUGGUCUACUGCCAGUACAACUUAUAUCAAGCAUGUGAGUUGGCGAGCUUUUGAAAGAACUCCAGCCACAGUCACUGACCACGCUGCCUGAGAGACCUAGAGAGAAAACCUAGCUGAGCCAAAUCAGGCCCCGGAAACAAUGUAAAGCAUGAAAGAAAUGCUCCAGUUUUUAUAUAACUUUUUAUUUUGGCAUGCAACAAUCAGUAUUUCAACUUAAAGGAAUGAGGAAGA